AAGGAAUAUUGGUCAAUGGGGGCAACCCUGAACCAGCCAUGCCGCGUGCAGGAUGACUGCCCUAUGGGUUGUAAACUGCUUUUGUUAGGGAAUAAACCCCGCUACGUGUAGCGGGCUGAAUGUACCUAAAGAAUAAGGAUCGGCUAACUCCGUGCCAGCAGCCGCGGUAAUACGGAGGAUCCGAGCGUUAUCCGGAUUUAUUGGGUUUAAAGGGUGCGUAGGCGGCACUUUAAGUCAGGGGUGAAAGACGGCAGCUCAACUGUCGCAGUGCCCUUGAUACUGAAGUGCUUGAAUGCGGUUGAAGACGGCGGAAUGAGACAAGUAGCGGUGAAAUGCAUAGAUAUGUCUCAGAACACCGAUUGCGAAGGCAGCUGUCUAAGCCGUUAUUGACGCUGAUGCACGAAAGCGUGGGGAUCGAAC
rnacentral:rRNA from 1 species